GUCCUAGCCGUAAACGAUGAACACUAGGCGUAGUCGGUAUCGACCCCGGCUGUGCCGUAGCUAACGCAUUAAGUGUUCCGCCUGGGGAGUACGGCCGCAAGGCUAAAACUCAAAGGAAUUGACGGGGGCCCGCACAAGCAGCGGAGCGUGUGGUUUAAUUCGUCGCAACGCGAAGAACCUUACCAGGGCUUGACAUGCACCGGAAAACGGCGGAAACGUCGUCCUCCCGCAAGGGAUCGGUGUGCAGGUGUUGCAUGGCUGUCGU
rnacentral:rRNA from 1 species